AGGCACAGCUAGACAUACAGAUAGAGAUAGAGUGACAGAGAGUGAGGCACAGCUAGACAUACAGAUAGAGUGACAGAGAGUGAGGCACAGCUAGACAUACAUUUAGAGUGACAGAGAGUGAGGCACAGCUAGACAUACAGAUAGAGAUAGAGUGACAGAGAGUGAGGCACAGCUAGACAUACAUUUAGAGUGACAGAGAGUGAGGCACAGCUAGACAUACAGAUAGAGAUAGAGUGACAGAGAGUGAGGCACAGCUAGACAUACAGAUAGAGUGACAGAGAGUGAGGCACAGCUAGACAUACAGAUAGAGUGACAGAGAGUGAGGCACAGCUAGACAUACAGAUAGAGUGACAGAGAGUGA